rnacentral:rRNA from 1 species
CCUACGGGAGGCAGCAGUGGGGAAUAUUGGACAAUGGGGGGAACCCUGAUCCAGCCAUGCCGCGUGUGUGAAGAAGGCCCUCGGGUUGUAAAGCACUUUCAGUGAGGAAGAACGCCUGGUGGUUAAUACCCAUCAGGAAAGACAUCACUCACAGAAGAAGCACCGGCUAACUCCGUGCCAGCAGCCGCGGUAAUACGGAGGGUGCGAGCGUUAAUCGGAAUUACUGGGCGUAAAGCGCGCGUAGGUGGCUUGAUAAGCCGGUUGUGAAAGCCCCGGGCUCAACCUGGGAACGGCAUCCGGAACUGUCAAGCUAGAGUGAAGGAGAGGAAGGUAGAAUUCCCGGUGUAGCGGUGAAAUGCGUAGAGAUCGGGAGGAAUACCAGUGGCGAAGGCGGCCUUCUGGACUGACACUGACACUGAGGUGCGAAAGCGUGGGUAGCAAACAGGAUUAGAUACCCUGGUAGUC